AGGCCGGCCACACCCAGGGCGCUCCUGAAGCCGCAGCCGCUGCUGUGCUAGGCCGGGAAGACCCGCCUGGGGCGCGUGGGUGGGGCGGGAGCGCAGCUGCAGCCAGGAGGCGACACAGGCCCGGGCCAGCCAGGGACGGAAAAAUUGUAAGAAACUACACAGAUGCUUCCUCAUACACUCUGCUCAGUCUCUCUGAAUGAUACAGUUUGGAAAACCACAGGACAAUGUCACAACCAGGUUAAUGACUUUGAUGUGAUGCCUCGAUCCCAUCCUGAGUCCCCGUUCCUGGCUGACGUGUGCCUAUCAAGGGCUGCACCAUGUCGGCACAGGCGAAGGCUCCUGCGUCCCCCGACAGCGAGGCCGCAGAACGUCCCCAUCACCGGGGGUCCUCGGGUGCCCCUGGCAAUACACCCACCUCCCUGCUGUUGGCCACGAGCCUGUCCUCCACCCCCAUCACUGUUUCAUUCCAGCGACAGCGUGGGAAGGUGCAGUAGCAGCCUUCCGGGAUUCCCUGGAGAUGCCUCCAGCGCGUGUUUCAGCAGCCGGUUCCUCUCUGUGCUGAGCCAUCCAGGCCGUGGUGUGGACGUAGCACACCGCAAUUUAGUCAGCCGUUCUCCAGUGUGAGUCUGGGUGGACUCCCUUUCUUGGUGACUAUGAAUAAAGGCCCGGAAGCCCUCUGGGGACGAGGCGCGCAGGAGGCCAGGGGCUCCAGGACUGCCCUCCCAGACGGGGGCCUUGCUCUCAGGGGCCUGGAGAAGGUUCCGCUCGCUGGGGCCUCCCCUGCUCCUGGUCUGAGAAGAGAAACCUAGAGUUUCCAAGGGGCCUGCGCGUCAUGACGCGUGGCGCCCGCACACGGCAUGAUGAGAUAGGGCCCCGGGUGCUGGAACAGGAGCCCGCGCCGACGGAAAGUGGCGGGGCGAGGGGAUUCCCCGCUCGCCCGGGGCAGCGGGAAGUUUCCAUCCGCGCAGGGACGGUCGGGGAAGCACAGGAAACAGCAGGACCAUCCCGAAACUGCUUCUGCAGUGGGAGGCGGCGGGCGCCGGGCUGGCCGGGUGGAAACGACGCUGUCGCCGCCCGGGCCAAGGGCACCGCGGUGGGGAGGCAGCGCCUGAUUCACAGCCAUUUCUGAGGUUGGAACAGGAAAUGGUUAAUAGUGUUUGCAAAUAAAAACUCUCUGUUCUAUCCUGUUUUCGAAACAUUUCCCAGAAGUUGAAAAAUAACACCCAAUUUAUCUGCCCAAUUUAAGAAUAAACUUUUAAAAAAUUGAA